rnacentral:rRNA from 1 species
GACGAACGCUGGCGGCGUGCUUAACACAUGCAAGUCGAACGGAAAGGCCCUGCUUUUGUGGGGUGCUCGAGUGGCGAACGGGUGAGUAACACGUGAGUAACCUGCCCUUGACUUUGGGAUAACUUCAGGAAACUGGGGCUACUACCGGAUAGGAGCUCCUGCUGCAUGGUGGGGGUUGGAAAGUUUCGGCGGUUGGGGAUGGACUCGCGGCUUAUCAGCUUGUUGGUGGGGUAGUGGCUUACCAAGGCUUUGACGGGUAGCCGGCCUGGGGGGGUGACCGGCCACAAUGGGACUGAGAGACGGCCCAGACGCCUACGGGAGGCAGCAGGGGGGAAUAUUGCCCAAUGGGCGGAAGCCUGAUGCAGCAACGCCGCGGGCGGGAUGACGGCCUUCGGGUUGUAAACCGCUUUCGCCUGUGACGAAGCGUGAGUGACGGUAAUGGGUAAAGAAGCACCGGCUAACUACGUG